CUAUAUUAAAACUGUACACAAUCAUCUUGCAUAACACAUAUAUAUAAAAUAGAUUUUUGUAGUAUAUCGAAUCCAAGACCUUUUAACCUGGAUGUAUCCGUUUCGAGGCGUGCUUCCUUCUUCGGAUCGAAAAUGGCGAGGACAGGGGUAUUCGUCAAUAUGUCCUUUACUUCUUCCAUAGCUUUGGUGUCGGGAAUUCAUGGAUCUCCUUCCACUUAUUUCCAUCCGAUGCUAUCCCAUCUUUACAAAUUCUAUAGCCAACAAAAUUGAUUUCCUCACGUGAAAGUUGAAAUUUAUCCUUGCUCAGCGUAAUACCAUAUACUCUACAUCAAAAUAAUAUUUUACGUACACUUUGGAUAUGAGAUUCGAAAUUUUCAUCAUUCACAAGAACGUCAUCAAUAACCUUAUGAAUUCCUUCUAAAACCGAUCGCAUCUACAAUUAUAUGUAUCUCCAGUAGAAUUAAAACCAAUUGGUACUCAGUUA
rnacentral:lncRNA from 1 species